UACGGAGGGUGCAAGCGUUAUCCGGAUUUACUGGGUUUAAAGGGUGCGCAGGCGGAUAUGUAAGUCAGUGGUGAAAUCUCUGGGCUUAACCCGGAAAUUGCCAUUGAUACUAUAUAUCUUGAAUGUUGUGGAGGUAGGCGGAAUAUGUCAUGUAGCGGUGAAAUGCUUAGAUAUGACAUAGAACACCUAUUGCGAAGGCAGCUUACUACGCAGAUAUUGACGCUCAUGCACGAAAGCGUGGGGAUCAAACAGG
rnacentral:rRNA from 1 species